UGCUGCUGAAUCUAUCACAUGAAAUAGGUCAGCUACAAGAACAGAAUUAGUUGCAAGUUGAAGAUACGACACAUAGUAAUAUUUGAAGACAUUUGCUAUCAUCAAGGGGUGUCCCCAAGAAAAGAGUAAAGGAUCAUGAAGACACAAGUAGGAAUCUUACUGAGCCUCGUAUGGAUACAGAUCUGCUGGGUGAGGGCGCAGAUGAAGGUGGAGCAGAGUCCUCAAGUCCUGAUCCUCCAAGAAGGGAGAAACUCCUUCCUGACAUGCAACUAUUCUAGCACCAUGACCGGUAUGCAGUGGUUCCAGCAAAGUCCUGGAGGACGCCUCAUAUCCUUGUUUUACAUAGCUUCAGGAACAAAGCACAAUGGAAGACUCAAAUGCACAGUCAACACCAAGGAACGAUAUAGCCAACUACACAUCAGUGAUGCUCAGCCUGAGGACUCAGCCUCGUACUUCUGUGCCGUGGAGACACAGUGCUUCGCAGCCACCUGCUGUCUAUGCACUAAAUGA